AGAGUUUGAUCCUGGCUCAGAACAAACGCUGGCGGCGUGCCUAACACAUGCAAGUCGAGCGCUGAGCACUUGUCUCUUGUAGAUAGGUGCUCGGAGCGGCGAACGGGUGAGUAAUGUAUAGGUAAUCUGCCCCGAAGACUGGGAUAACCUGUGGAAACAUGGGCUAAUACCGGAUGAUCUCUUUUCAGGGCAUCUUGGAGAGAGCAAAGGUUUCGGCCGCUUCGGGAUGAGCCUAUAUCCUAUUAGCUAGUUGGUGAGGUAACGGCUCACCAAGGCAGUGAUGGGUAGCUGGCCUGAGAGGGUGGUCAGCCACACUGGGACUGAGACACGGCCCAGACUCCUACGGGAGGCAGCAGUGAGGAAUCUUCCGCAAUGGGCGCAAGCCUGACGGAGCGACGCCGCGUGGAGGAUGAAGGCUUUCGGGUUGUAAACUCCUUUCGGCAGGGACGAAGCCGCAAGGUGACGGUACCUGCAGAA
rnacentral:rRNA from 1 species